CCUCGUACUACCGCAGAUUAAGGUAGUACCACGGAAUAACCUGCUUUUCAAAAACGUUUAUUACGAGUUUUGAUCUAAUUUUUUUCUUACGGAAGUCGCGUGUGAUUUUUUUGACGCAAAUGUGAAAAGGUGAAGAGAUGGAAAGUAAUGAAGACAAGUGCAAAGAUGGUACUAAAUCUGGGGAAGAAUCGAGCGGUACUAAAAAAGCUAAAAGUGAUAAAUGGAGCAAUCUUGAUAACAUGGAGCGAUGUCUCCUGUACAUCGGCGGAGGAGCUGGAGCCUUAGCUCUCACUGGUGUAGCAGCAGCAUCAGCAUAUUACCUGGCCAAAGGUGCAAGUCCAACACCACAGAGACCUCUUUUUCCCUUGGAAGCUCAAUGCAUCGAAGAGGAGGAGGGUCCAGAUUUGAUUCGAGUGUCCAGGUUUUUCAACCAAGCAAAAGAAGGCAAAUUCAUCAGCUACGUAUACUCAGAUGCAAAAACACUAUACGAGUCAUUCAGACGAGGCUCCAAAGUAUCAAAUAAUGGUCCCAGUCUGGGUUGGAGAGAAUCGUACUCCAAGCCGUACCAGUGGUUGAGCUAUAACGAAGCAUUGCUGAGGGCGAAAAACUUCGGUUCCGGCCUCGUUGCCAGCGGUCUCCCGCCAGGACAGACUACCAUAAUCGGUAUCUAUUCUCAGAAUUGCCCAGAAUGGAUCCUCACAGAGCAAGCAGUAUACUGCUACAGUAUGGUGCUGGUACCGUUGUACGAUACUCUAGGUCCAGAAGCAUGUGCCUUUAUUGUCAAACAAGCCGAAAUCACUACGGUAGUUUGUGAUGACGACGCAAAAUGCAACCUUCUAUUGGAGAGAUCCCCAAGAUGUCUCAAGAAACUGAUAGUUAUGAGAGACGUCAGGGCAGCCACCAGACAAAGGGCGAAAAACAGAGGAGUGGAUAUAAUCAAAUUCACGGAUCUUGAAGAGUUGGGAGCGAAAACAAACCACCCAGAAGUUCCUCCUAAACCUAGCGAUCUUGCAACGAUAUGUUACACUAGUGGAACAACUGGCAACCCCAAGGGUGUGAUGUUGACCCACGAAAAUAUAGUGGCCUCUAUGAGUGCCGUAAUAAUGCAGUUCGGUGACCAUAAACUAAGAAAUAACGAUAUUUUGAUAUCUUUCUUGCCGUUGGCGCAUAUGUUGGAGAGGUGUUGUGAGAAUGCAAUGUACUGCGUAGGGGGAGCAGUUGGGUUCUACUUAGGAGAUAUAAGAAGGUUGUCAGACGAUAUGAAAGCCCUAAAACCCACAGUAACCCCAGCAGUUCCUAGAUUACUCAAUAGGAUAUACGACAAGGUGCAAUCAGACAUUAGUGGAAGUUGUGUUAAGAAAACUCUGUUCAAUAUGGCGCUGAGCGCCAAAGAGAAAGAACUAAAAAGGGGAAUCGUUAGGAAAAACAGUUUUUGGGAUAUGUUGGUGUUCAGAAAAGUCCAAGAAGGCAUGGGAGGACACCUUAGGUUAAUGUUGGUAGGCUCAGCACCAUUGGCUGAAAACGUGCUGACUUUUGUUCGCUGCGCCUUGGGAUGCAUUGUAGUUGAAGGCUACGGUCAGACCGAAUGCACAGCCCCAAUUUCGCUGACCAUUCAAGGAGACCACUCUCCUGGCCACGUUGGCCCACCGGUAGCAUGUUGCUGCAUUAAAUUGGUAGAUGUUCCAGAAAUGGAGUACUGGGCGAAGAAUAAUCAGGGUGAAGUGUGCGUUAAAGGAACCAACGUAUUUCAGGGAUACUACAAGGACCCAGAAAAAACCGAGGAGGUAAUUGACGAGGCAGGAUGGCACCAUACGGGUGAUAUAGGAAUGUGGUUACCGAAUGGAUGUCUAAAAAUCAUCGACAGGAGGAAGCAUAUCUUCAAACUUUCGCAAGGAGAGUACAUAGUACCAGAAAAAAUAGAAAAUAUUUAUAUUCGUUCGCAGUACGUUAGUCAAGUUUUUAUAUAUGGAGAAUCUCUUAAAUCUUGUAUAGUAGGUAUCGUAGUACCAGACGUAGAUGUAAUCAAAUGCUGGGCUCACGAGAACGGAAUUCCCGGAACCCUCAGCAUCCUCUGUAAUAAUCCAGAAGUUAAGCAGCUAAUUUUAGAUGAUAUGAUCACGUGGGGCAAGGAGGCUGGAUUAAAAUCCUUUGAGCAAGUAAAGGACAUCUACCUUCACCCCGACAACUUCAGCAUUCAAAAUGGCUUACUCACACCGACAAUGAAGUCGAAACGUCCACAGUUGAAGGCUUACUUUAAACCACAAUUAGACGAUAUGUACAGUAGGCUCGUGUAGAACAUUUUUUAGACUUUUUUUUCAAAUUAAUUCUUAAGACAAAAUCUUGUAUACAAUAUCGUCGAUAAUAAUGACCAAUAGGCAGCUUCGGUAGGUGAUAUAUUUGUCGAAAUCAGAGAUAUUAAUGUAGAAGACUAUUUGCUAAGCGAAUAGUAUUGAUUCUGCAACAAGGUUAGAAAUAAAAUUAAAUACGAGUGAAAGAUUUUGAACUGGAGCGUGAGAUACCACCAGUGGCUCGAAUUUUCAUUCUGACCGACACCACUGGUGUCAAACACCAGUGUCUUAGUCUGAAAGGGUACUAAGACUACUACUACGCCUAUUGAUCAUAAAUAUCGUGAAAUGCAUAUAGUUGUAGACUUAAGCAACAAUUUUAUUUGCGAUGUUUUGUACGAAAAAAACAUAUUUGGUAUAGACAGCUGAACAUGGUAGUCUUUAAAAUAUAUCUGGAACAAUUUUGUUGGUUUAUUGUACCUAUUUAAGUAAAUUUGUUUUAAUCUUUGGUGGACUGUUCUUUCGAGGUGUCAAUAUGAUCAUUUUUUAUUUUAAAUUAUCCAAACGAUAAUAUGAUACGCAUUAAAACAAACAAAUAAAUUCUGUAUCUAUACAUCGAGGAGUACGGCGAGGAGACACCAUCUCACCAAAGCUAUUCACAACCCUUUUAGAACAAACUUUUAAGAAGGUAGAUCUGAACAAAUAUGGUAUCAACAUAAAUGGAGAGAAGCUCAGUCAUUUGAGAUUCGCAGAUGACAUCGUCCUUAUAGCCGAUCGUAUGGAUGAUUCAAUAAUAAUGUUGAACAAAUUAUAUCACGCUUCCUUAGAGGUCGGACUAAAGAUUAACAUCAACAAAACGCAAAUAAUGACUAAUCUGGUGCUAAAUCGUAAUAUUGUUGUUGAUGGAAUGGAUAUUGAACAGACUUUUGGAUAUUGAACAGAAUAUAUCUUUCUAUAUUCUCUAGAAUGCCUCCUUAAUAAAAUUAUGACCAAAAGCCAACGGUAACCAGUAAAUACAAAGAGGUGUCGGACAGGGUUGUAUACUGUCCCCACUGUUAUUCAAUUUAUAUUCAGAUAAAAUAUUUAAAGAAUAAUUUGCAAUGGGGUGUGAAAGUUAAUGGAAUUCUGAUUAAUACAAUCAGAUAUGCAGACGAUAAAGUUAUUUUAAGUGAUGACAUGAAUGGAUUAUAAUGCCUUUUAAAUGCCAUUGACACAGUGGGAAGAGAGUUUGGCCUAAACAUAAACUGUUCAAAAACAAAAUACAUGGUGUUUAGCUGUUUGGCCCAUCAAGAUUCACGGUUAUUUAUUUGUGAUGGUCAUAUAAUUAAAAGAGUAGAAAGCGCAUGUUUAAAUGUUACAUUUGGUCAGUCCUCUUAUACGGUGUCGAAGCAUGGACAUGAAAAAUAUCCACCAUUAAUCGUUUGGAGGCCUUUGAAAUGUGGCUGCAUAGACGUACGCUAAAAAUACCAUGGACGGCUAUGCUGACAAAUGUAGCAGUCCUUAAGUUAGUCCGUUCUUUAACGGUAAAAUAUUGCAAAACCUCUAAAUUUUAAAGAACCGCUUCAAUUGACAUGAAAUUUGGCAUACACGUAGUUAACAAGUCAAAGAAAAAAAGUGAUAUUGUGCCUAUAUGUGCUUUUGCCCCGGGGGUGCUUUUCACCCCCUCUUGGGGGUGAAAAAGUAUUCGUCCAGAGUAAGUCCGGAAAUUAAUAAAUUGACUAGUUUUAAGUAACUUUUGUUCUAUAGAGUUUUUUCACUAAGUCAAUACUUUUCGAGUUAUUUGCCAGUGAAUAUGUUAAUUUUUUCAACAAAAUAACCACACUUUUAGAAGGUUUUUUGGAAAUAACUCAAAAAGUAAGUAUUUUGUCGAAAAAAAUUCGUAGCAAAAAUAUAGCCUGUAAAAAAUUUAAAAAAAAAUGGUGUAUAUAUCACGUUUCUAUACCUAGUAGAAGCAGAGUUAUAGCUAAUUAAAAAUAGGUUCAUAUUCUUCAAAUUCCAAAUGGAAUACUUUAACGUGAAAUAACCAAAAAUGAAGCACAUUUCGGGGAAAACUCAUUACAACUUAUAUAAAGUGUUUAAAAAAAGCUUCAUUUUUGUUUUAUAAAAAAAAUUUCUAGCAUCAAAAGUAAACAAGUUACGCUCAAAAUAAAGUUAGUCCCUUUUUUUUUUGUAAAAAAAUCGGGAAAAUCACCCCCUAAUUAGUAUCUCAAAUGAACUUAAUCGUUACGACUUCACAAGUUUCUUGACCCGUGUAUGUAUUGUUUAUAUGAUCUGUAAGUUUCAUCGGUUCAAAGUCCUUAUUUUUGAAAGGGCUGUAGUUAAAAGGGGUUGAACGAGUCACUCAUCACGAAUGUAUGCAAAUUUAGAAACACCAAAUCUCAAUCAAUUUUUGUCUAACAGAAAAACAAAACAAUACAUGAUAUUCAGAAAAUCAAUCCUAAUUUUUUUGUGUUUUUCGAGGUUUUUGGUAUCUCUAACAAUUUUUAAGUUAUUUUGAAAAAAAAGCAUAUUUUUCAAAAUUAAAAUUUUUAAAAAUUUUACUUUAAAACCAAAUUUUUUCCAAAAUAAGCACUUUGAAUCGAUGAAACUUACAGAUCAUAUAAACACAACAUAAUUUCAUUUAAGUUGCUAAUUAGGGGGUGGUCUUCCCGAUUUUUUUUGCCAAAACAAAAGCGACCAACUUUAUUUUGAGCGUAACUUGCUUAAAUUUAAUGCUAGAAACUUUUUAUAAAAACAGAAAUAAAGCAUUUUUUAAACACUUUAAAAAAGUGCUGGGUUUUCCCCAAAAAGUGCUUAUUUUUUUGGAUAAUUCACUUCGAAGUAUUCUAUUUCAAAUUUGAUGAAUAUGAAUAUAUUUUUCAUUGGCUAUAACUCUGGUUUUACGAGGUCCAGAGACCUAACGCGUACACCAUUUUUUUUUACUUUUUUACAGGCUAUAUUUUUGCUAAGAACGUUUUUUUCAACAAAAUACUUACUUUUUGAGUUAUUUGCGAAAAACCGUCUAAGAAUGUAGUUAUUUUGUUGAAAAUGAACAUAUUCACUCGCAAAUAACUCGAAAAGUGUUGACUUGGCGAAAAAGCUCUAUAGAACAAAAGUUACUUAAAAUUAGUCAGUUUAUCCAUUUCCGGACUUAUUUUAGACUAAUAUUUUUUUACCCCCAAGAGGGGGAGAAAGUCACCCCCAGGGCAAAAGCACACAUCGGCACAAUAUAACUUUUUUUUCUUUGACAUGUAAGCUAUGCGUAUGCCAAAUUUCAUGUCAAUCCAAACGGUUCUUUAAAAUUUAGAGCAAAAAUCGUGAAAGAAUGGACUAAGUGCAAUUUUAUCGGAAAUCGGUGAAAUUCAGAAACUUAAGGACCUUGAGGAACCCCAAAAUAUUAAAAUCGGUCAAGCAACUUUUGCCACUUUUUUUUGUUAACACUUAGGUACAGUAGGAAAAAUGAAAGAAUACCCAUGAACGAAGAUAUAAAACACGCUGUAUUUUCCUGUCACCGUGUCACAAAGAAAAUUGCCCAGCGCAAGAACAUGUAAUAAUAAUUAUUACAUGUACUUGCGCUGGCCAAUUUUUUGUGUGACACAGUGACAGGAAAAUACAGCGUGUUUUAUAUCUUCGUUCAUGGGUAUUCUUUCAUUUUUCCUACUGUACGCAUAUUUUAACAACUAUGUCACACUACUUGGAGAAAAAAAGUUUUUUCGUUCCACCCUAGUGUAUGUACAUAUAUCUAUUAAAAUAAACAGUCUGUAGAAAUCAAAGCUAGGUACAUAAAACGUGUAUUAGAAACAAACAGGAUGAAGUUGUACAAUACAAUCUCUUUAAAAUAGAAUAAAUUAUAUUUUAAAGACUCUAGUUUACUAUUUUUCACGUCCCAAAUCAAUAUAAUUUUAAAGCUUUUAUUUAUUUAUAUAAAUAAUACUUUAAUAUUUUGAAAUGGUGGUUAAUGCUUGAAUUUGUAAAAUUCAAUAUAUCCCGAAAUUAAAAAGUGUAGUUAUUUUAUAGUUUUUAAUUUCUUCAACACGUUGACGGACAGUGCGUGAAAUGUAUAAGCAAGUGUUAUGACACUAUAUAUGUAUUUUGCAAAGUAGAAUAGGGAAAAAUACAACGUCUAUAGACGUUCUGUCCGUCAAAGUGUUAAACUAACAAAUAUUUUGUAAUAGGUCUUGGAAACACACUUAAAAAAACAUCAUUACCUCCCUCAAGAGGCUCGUUUAUUCAGUUGUCGAGUCAGACAACUUUUCUAAUAAUACGGAAAAUUUUUGGUGGGGGUUGAAGAGAAAAUUCAUGAAAUCGUCAACUUCGGAGCGUCCGACAACUGAAGUACCCUUAAAAAUUUGUCGAACAAUAUUACCAGUAAAUUGUAAGUAUUUUUAUCAACAAUCCUGCUAAAAUCAGCUAAAUUUUAUGACUACAUGAUGCCCCCCUCAUAAAAUUUAUACCCUCACAGCUGAUUUUUGCAAGAUUGUUUUAUAAAAAUACUUACAAUAAUUUACUAGUAAUAUUGUACGACAAAGUUUUAGGAUACUCCAGUGUCGGACGCUCCAAAGUUGACGAUUUCAUUCAUUUCCUCCCCGCCCCCUUCCGAAAAUUUUCCGUAUUAGAAAAGUUGUCUGACUCGACAUGAAUAACUGAAUAAACGAAGUCUCAUGAGGUAGGUAAUCAUGAUUUUUAAGUGGGGACCCAUGGUCUAUAAUUGAUUAUUUUUAGAUUAAUUUCCUAUUGAACUUUUAGGCAAAUUUUGUUAAUGGGUCUAUUGAAUAAAAAGAAGUAUUUGCUUUUACUUCCUCGUAUUUAAGUAUUGACUUAAUAGUUAUUGGACAAAGCAUUAAAGAAAUGGCUUUAUUCAAUUACUAUUAAGUAAAUACUUAAAUAUUUGUAAGUAAAAACAAAUACUUCUUAUUCAAUAGACCCAUGGUGAGGAAUAUUCUGUUAAAGAUAGGCAACCAGUAUUUCAGUUUGCUAUCAUUGGAAAACUGUAGAAGCCGUCCCUACUUGGAAAAAAGGCUCUAAAAGAGUAGGCACUCUAAACCUUUUGAUUGUGUUGAUCUAGUCAUAAAAAGAAAUUAUUUGUUUUUGUUGUAACUAAAAUUUAACUUGAGGUGAUACAGUGGCGAUCACCAGGUAGCAAAAACGCGUUCCAAAAUUGCGGCUGUAAUUUUGAAUAUUUUUUCGAGAUAUUUGGCACACGUAUUCGUAAUAUAAUAAAGAAUGGCGGUACAGAGCCCUAUUUGAAAAAUAUAUUAAUAUGUGGAAAUUACUCUGUAAUUGAAUACAAUAUUAAAAAAACGAGCCUGUACCGCCAUUAAGAAGAACAAAAAAAUAAACUUUCUUCAAAUAAACUUUUUUAUCCGAUGCCUAGAUUUUGUGUCAUUUUGGAACUACUAAAAUUUUUUAUUUCAUUAGUAGUUCCAAAAUGACACAAAAUCUAGGCAUCGGAUAAAAAAGUUUAUUUGAAGAAAGUGUAUUGUUUUGUUCUUCUUAAUGGCGGCACAAGCUCGUUUUUUUUAAUAUUGUAUUUAAUUACAGAGUAAUUUCCACAUAUUGAUAUAUUUUUCAAAUUGGGCUCUGUACCGCCAUUCUUUAUUAUAUUACGAAUACGUGUGCCAAAUAUCUCGAAAAAAUAUUCAAAAUUACAGCCGCAUUCUUGGAACGCGUUUUCGCUACCUGUUGAUCGCUACUGUUUCCUCUUAAAUUUGAAACAAUUUAAAUAAAAAAUUGUAACUACAUAACUAAAUGCUGGAUUCAGUUCAACAAGUCUUGCUCAAAAGCUAUGGAUGUAGGACAAAUUUGAAGCCAAUUAAGGAAAAUAUUUAAUUCAAUGUCAAUUCACAUACACUGUAUCAUGUGUAUCAUAAACAAACGAUACUCUUUUUUGGACCAUUUUUUAAAAUUCCACUCUUGUUUGAAUAGCUUUUGAAUUUGCUUAACUAUUUUGUUUUAUUUUCCAGCAUUAGCUUAGUAAGCUAAAAUUAGUUUAUUUUAAUAUGACUCCUUUUGAUUUUUUUUAAUAAUCGAAUAAAAUAACUUGUUGAUAGAGGUGAUUCAUUUAAACAAAAUGAUCAAACACUAUAACAGGAAAUCAUUCUUUUGUAAUUUUAGACCUACCAAAUAAAACAGUCCUGGCUCCUAAAUUAAAAUCUUAUCAUAUAGCCCGAUCAAGAAACAGCAAAUUUUACGAAAACCUCCAAAAAAAUAAAGGAAGGAUGAAAAUUUGGGAAUAGGUAGUUGAAAUUGUCUAUUAUUAUAUAAGAAAAAGUUUACAAUUCUACAUCCCCUCCAUUUUACAAAAAUUGGGAAAUACGGGGUGAAAAAUAUUUUUGUCAGGAGUGAAAAAAUAUACAUUCAAAAUGGACGGAAUUGGAUAAAAUGACUAAUUCUAAGCAACUUUUGUUCUAUAGAGUUUUUUCACUAAGUCAAUACUUUUCGAGUUAGUUGUGAGUGAAUAUGUUCAUUUUUAACAAAAAAAACAUGUUUUUGGACGGUUUUUCGCAGAUAACUCAAAAAUUAAGUACUCUAGCGGAAAAAAUAGUAAAAAUGUAGCUUAUAAAAACUAAAAAAAAUGGUAUACGCGUGAGGUCUGCAGACCCAGUGGAAGCAGAGUUGUAGCUAAUGAAAAGUAGGUUCUUCUUCGUCAAAUUCCAAAUCGAAUAUUUCAAUGUGAAAUAACCAAAAAACAAAGCUUUUUUCGGAGAAAAUUCAUUACAACUUUUUUAAAGUGUUUAAAAAAAGGUUUAUUUUUGUUUUUUUUUUAAACUUCAAUAAACUAAAACAAUAAAAAUAAGUCGGUUACGCUCAAAAUAUUGUUGGUCUCUUUUAUUUUUUGGUACAAAAAUCGCGAAAAUCAUCCCCUAAUUAGCUUUCUAAAUAAAAUUAAUCGUUACCGCUUCACAAGUUACUUUACUUACCUAUUGUUUAUAUUAUCUAUAAGUUUCAUUGGUUCAAAAUUGGGUAUAAAAUAAAACAUUUUUUUUUUAAUUUGAAAAAAAUGGAAUUGUUCAUGAAAUUAACUUAAAAAUUAUUAGUAAUACCAAAACUCUUAAAGAGUAAUAAAAUAUACGUUUUGCUUUUCUGAAUAUUUUUGCUGUUUUGUUUUCUUGUUAGACAAAAAUUGGUUAUGCUAUGGCUGUUCAAAAUUAGCCUAAACUCGUGAUUAGUUACUCGUUCAAGCCAUUUUAACUACAGCUUUUCAAAAAUAAGCACUUUGAACCAGUGAAACUUACAGAUCAUAAUAAAUAAUACAUAAGUAAAGUAACUUGUGAAGUGGUAAUGAUAAAAUUUAUUUGUGAAGCUAAUUAGGAAGUGAUUUUCGCGAUUUUUUUACCAAAAAAUAAAAGAAACCAACAAUAAUAUUUUCAGCGCAAUUCACUUACUUUUAAUGUUACAAAUUUUUUUAAAAAAACAAAAAUAAAACCUUUUUUAAACACUUCAAAAAAGUUGAAAUGAACUUUCCCCGUAAAGUGCUUCAUUUUUGGGUUAUUUUACAGUGAAAUAUUCGAUCUGCAAUUUGAUGAAGAAGAACCUACUUUUCAUUAGCUAUAACUCUGCUUCUACUGGGUCUACAUACCUCAAGCAUACACCAUUUUUUUCAGUUUUUAUAAGCUAUAUUUUUGCUAAGAAUAUUUUUUCGCUGAAAUACUUACUUUUUGAGCUAUCUCCGAAAAACUGUCCAAAACGAUGUUUUUUUCUGUUAAUAAUGAACAUAUUCACUUGCAAAUAACUCAAAAAGUAUUGACUUAAGGACAAAACUCUAUAGAACAAAAGUUGCUUAGAAUUAGUCAUUUUAUCCAAUUCCGGACUUAUUUUGAAUGUAUAUUUUUCACCUUCGAGAGGGGGCUUUCCCCUCCAUUUUUGUAAAAUGGAGGGGAUGUAGAAUUGUAAACUUUUUCUUAUAUAAUAAUAGACAAUUUCAACUACCUAUUUCCAAAUUUUCAUCCUUCCUUUAUUUUUUUUGGGGUCAGAUUGUUCUUUGAUCAGGCUAAUAUGCUGCAGAGCCCCUAAGGUUGGUGCUAGAAUUAAUAUAGAUAGACAAAAUUAUCUAAUAGAUUCAUGAAAAUGUUUUGGGGCAUACUUACAUAGUAUAUGAUUAGUGUGACCAACUAGCCCGAAAAAUCCGGGACAUGGCCCGAAUUACGAAGUCAUGUCCCGGCGUCCCGGACAAGGCUUCCGGGCCAUCCGAAUUUUCAACGUUUUGGUAAAAUUCUAUUUUGAAAUUUUGAAUACUUUAUUCUUCUAAGAAUUCACAUCAAACUGAAUUGGUAGGACAAAAAAAAAUCGACAAUCUCUACAGUGUAAUACUAAUACCACAUCCAAAACGCAUGCCUUUUAUAUCGUGGUAUUAUAGUUCUACGAAAACUAAAACGGUGGACUUUUUUUCGUUUCUGUAUUUUAAUUGUCUUCUGAAAAAAAAAAUGGCCCGAUUUUCAUUGAAAUGUCCCGGAUUUUAGGUAUUUUUUUCAGCCUUGUCCCGGAUUCGACUCAAUUGGAGUUGGUCACACUAUAUAUGAUAGCUAAGGUUGAUAUAAAAUUAUAACGAUUGGUAACCCACUUAUUGGUAGUUCUAAUAUUUCAUCAUGUAAGUAAUAUCUAUUCACAAUCUUUGUUUACCGCCUUGAUUUUUAUUUUCUAAAAUUUUGUCAUGUUUCUAAUUAUUACACCUUUUUAUCUAACACUCUUUACUUUUGUAUUCUCUUGAGGGUCUCAGUAUGCACCUUAGGAUUCUUAUAAGCGACUUUGAAAGUAUUUGAGAUAUGGAGAUAAAAAUUCGAUAAACAACACACAAGUUUAGUAAAACCAUGUAAAACUAUUAAGUAUGUACUACUUUUGUUUUAAUCAUAUCCUAAAACAAACUGUUCUAGCAAUAAUUUUUUCUAGGUGAAUGCUCACAUUUAUAUUAACAAGUAGUACUUAUAUCGUUUUAUUAAGACUCAUUGAACAUUUUUAAUAUUUUCACUUUCCCCACUAAAUUAAAAAGACUAAAUAUGAAUUAUGUUACUAGUACUUCUACUGUUAAUAACUUUUUCAGAUAGUUAUUUUGUAAGGCAAUAUGUUAUAAUUAUUAAUAAAACCUAUUGUUCAUUUA
rnacentral:misc_RNA from 1 species